AUACCAGCAAUCCAGUUGUUGUUACUGGAAAUGCAUAUAGCUUGGUAAUGAUACCAGCAAUCCAGUUGUUGUUAUUGGAAAUGCAUAUAGCUUGGUAAUGAUACCAGCAAUCCAGUUGUUGUUAUUGGAAAUGCAUAUAGCUUGGUAAUGAUACCAGCAAUCCAGUUGUUGUUAUUGUAAAUGCAUAUAGCUUGGUAAUGAUACCAGCAAUCCAGUUGUUGUUAUUGGAAAUGCAUAUAGCUUGGUAAUGAUACCAGCAAUCCAGUUGUUGUUAUUGGAAAUGCAUAUAGCUUGGUAAUGAUACCAGCAAUCCAGUUGUUGUUAUUGGAAAUGCAUAUAGCUUGGUAAUGAUACCAGCAAUCCAGUUGUUGUUAUUGGAAAUGCAUAUAGCUUGGUAAUGAUACCAGCAAUCCAGUUGUUGUUAUUGGAAAUGCAUAUAGCUUGGUAAUGAUACCAGCAAUCCAGUUGUUGUUAUUGGAAAUGCAUAUAGCUUGGUAAUGAUACCAGCAAUCCAGUUGUUGUUAUUGGAAAUGCAUAUAGCUUGGUAAUGAUACCAGCAAUCCAGUUGUUGUUAUUGGAAAUGCAUAUAGCUUGGUAAUGAUACCAGCAAUCCAGUUGUUGUUAUUGGAAAUGCAUAUAGCUUGGUAAUGAUACCAGCAAUCCAGUUGUUGUUAUUGGAAAUGCAUAUAGCUUGGUAAUGAUACCAGCAAUCCAGUUGUUGUUAUUGGAAAUGCAUAUAGCUUGGUAAUGAUACCAGCAAUCCAGUUGUUGUUAUUGGAAAUGCAUAUAGCUUGGUAAUGAUACCAGCAAUCCAGUUGUUGUUAUUGGAAAUGCAUAUAGCUUGGUGAAGUUAUGUAAUACCGGAUAGAUGGUUAUCAAAUCUAUACUGGCAAUUGUCGUCACUAAUACAUUGAGUUUGUCUAUGAUAACGCUUAAUGUCUCAAGUUUUACGCCUAAAUCUCCUAACAUAACGAAAACGCAAUGUAAACAAACAACAUUUUCAUGUUUAAUGAAUAAAGUGUAACAAACACGAAUGAAGUUAUAACGCACAUCUAAAGAAACUGUAAUAUUUAUAAACAAACAUUUUUUUAAUACAUUUUAAACAUUGU